AACUAACGCUGGCGGCGCGCCUAACACAUGCAAGUCGUACGAGAAAGCCGGCUUCGGCUGGUGAGUAAAGUGGCGCACGGGUGAGUAACGCGUGGAUAAUCUGCCCUUAAGUGUGGAAUAACGUACCGAAAGGUGCGCUAAUACCGCAUAAUGCCUGGCAACACAAGUUGUCCGGCCAAAGAAGGCCUCUGUUUACAAGCUUUCGCUUCAGGAUGAGUCCGCGUACCAUUAGCUUGUUGGUGGGGUAAUGGCCUACCAAGGCUGCGAUGGUUAGCUGGUCUGAGAGGAUGAUCAGCCACACUGGAACUGAGACACGGUCCAGACUCCUACGGGAGGCAGCAGUGAGGAAUAUUGCGCAAUGGGGGCAACCCUGACGCAGCAACGCCGCGUGAGUGAGGAAGGUUUUCGGACUGUAAAGCUCUGUCGAGCGGGAAGAAGUGUACCAUGGCUAAUAUCCAUGAUAUUUGACGGUACCGCUAGAG
rnacentral:rRNA from 1 species